AACGAACGCUGGCGGCAUGCCUAACACAUGCAAGUCGAACGAGACCUUUGGGUCUAGUGGCGCACGGGUGCGUAACGCGUGGGAAUCUGCCCUUGGGUUCGGAAUAACAGUGAGAAAUUGCUGCUAAUACCGGAUGAUGUCUUCGGACCAAAGAUUUAUCGCCCAGGGAUGAGCCCGCGUAGGAUUAGCUAGUUGGUGGGGUAAUGGCCUACCAAGGCGACGAUCCUUAGCUGGUCUGAGAGGAUGAUCAGCCACACUGGGACUGAGACACGGCCCAGACUCCUACGGGAGGCAGCAGUGGGGAAUAUUGGACAAUGGGCGCAAGCCUGAUCCAGCAAUGCCGCGUGAGUGAUGAAGGCCUUAGGGUUGUAAAGCUCUUUUACCAGGGAUGAUAAUGACAGUACCUGGAGAAUAAGCUCCGGCUAACUCCGUGC
rnacentral:rRNA from 1 species